AACCGGCGAACGGCUUAGUAACACGUAGGUACAUACCCUAAAGUGGGGCAUAGCUCGUCGAAAGACGGGGUAAUUUCCCAUAGUCUCGCAAGAGUAAAGUCGCAAGACGCUUUAGGAAUGGCCUGCGGCCCAUCAGAUAGUUGGUAGGGUAACGGCCUACCAAGUCUAUGACGGGUAGGGGGCGUGAGAGCGCGACCCCCAAGAAUGGCACUGCGACACGGGCCAUACUCC
rnacentral:rRNA from 1 species